rnacentral:rRNA from 1 species
CGGCAACAGCUCAAAUUUGAAAUCUGGCCCUUUUAGGGUCCGAGUUGUAAUUUGGAGAAGAUGCUUCAGGUGUAGUUCCGGCCCAAGUUCCUUGGAACAGGACGUCGUAGAGGGUGAGAAUCCCGUACGUGGCCGUGUGCCUAUGCCUAUGUGAAGCUCUUUCGAC